rnacentral:lncRNA from 1 species
UCCUUUGCCAGCAUAAACAGGAAGAAGAGAACCUUCAGUCAACAGCCACCAUACCCCUGUUUCCAGAAGAGCUGUUUGAACUGGCUGUUCAGCCAACUCUACUCGCACAGACAGUUCAGAGAGAGUCCAGUGAACCAAGAGUCCAAGAGGAGAGUAGCCUGUCCCAGGUGCUGAAUGAGCUGCAAGUGUCACACGCAGAGACCGCACUGGAGCUGGAGAAAACCAGAGACAUGCUUCUUCUGCAGCGCAAGAUCAACUUGUGUUAUCAGGAGGAGCUGGAGGCAACGCUGACAAAGGCUGACAAGGAAAAUAGGGACCACGAAGAGACGAUGGAGAGGCUGACUCACCUCCUAGACUUCAAGAACAGCCGCAUAAUGCAGCUGGAAGGUAUUUUAAGAAGUCACGGCCUUCCAACAUCUGGUGAUUUCAACCUUACAGACGCUGGGGAGAUGUCCAAUGGCUCCAUCCAAGUGCAGCUAGACUGGAAGUCUCACCAUCUGCCCCCAGAGAGCCUCCAGAUGUCAGAAGCUGAGAAGCAGGCGGAGGGAGACAAGGACGAGGUUCAGGAGGAGGAGGCAGAGGAAGAAGAGGAGGAGGAAGAAGAGGAUGAGGAGAAGGA